rnacentral:rRNA from 1 species
CGUCAAAUCAUCAUGCCCCUUAUGACCUGGGCUACACACGUAAUACAAUGGCCGUUAACAGAGGGAAGCAACACCGCGAGGUAGAGCAAAACCCUAAAAACGGUCUCAGUUCGGAUUGCAGGCUGAAACCCGCCUGUAUGAAGUUGGAAUUGCUAGUAAUCGCGGAUCAGCAUGCCGCGGUGAAUACGUUCCCGGGCCUU